AACGAACGCUGGCGGCAGGCUUAACACAUGCAAGUCGAACGCCCUCUUCGGAGGGAGUGGCAGACGGGUGAGUAACACGUGGGAAUCUACCUAUCUCUGCGGAACAACACAUAGAAAUGUGUGCUAAUACCGCAUACGCCCUCCGGGGGAAAGAUUUAUCGGAGAUAGAUGAGCCCGCGUUUGAUUAGCUAGUUGGUGAGGUAAUGGCUCACCAAGGCGACGAUCAAUAGCUGGUCUGAGAGGAUGAUCAGCCACACUGGGACUGAGACACGGCCCAGACUCCUACGGGAGGCAGCAGUGGGGAAUUUUCCGCAAUGGGCGAAAGCCUGACGGAGCAAGACCGCGUGGGGAA
rnacentral:rRNA from 1 species